rnacentral:misc_RNA from 1 species
GAUGAAGAACGCAGCGAAAUGCGAUAAGUAAUGCGAAUUGCAGAAUUCAGUGAAUCAUCGAAUCUUUGAACGCACAUUGCGCCCGCCAGUAUUCUGGCGGGCAUGCCUGUCCGAGCGUCAUUUCAACCCUCGAACCCCUCCGGGGGGUCGGCGUUGGGGAUCGGCCCUUUCACCGGGUGCCGGCCCCUAAAUACAGUGGCGGUCUCGCCGCAGCCUCUCAUGCGCAGUAGUUUGCACACUCGCACCGGGAGCGCGGCGCGUCCACGUCCGUAAAACACCCCAACUUCUGAAAUGUUGACCUCGGAUCAGGUAGGAAUACCCGCUGAACUUAAGCAUAUCAAUAAGCGGAGGA